rnacentral:rRNA from 2 species
UGGGGAAUAUUGCACAAUGGAGGGAACUCUGAUGCAGCGACGCCGCGUGAAUGAAGAAGGCUUUCGAGUCGUAAAGUUCUUUUAUAUGGGAAGAUAAUGACGGUACCAUAAGAAAAAGCCCCGGCUAACUACGUGCCAGCAGCCGCGGUAAUACGUAGGGGGCUAGCGUUGUCCGGAAUCACUGGGCGUAAAGGGUUCGCAGGCGGAAAUGCAAGUCAGGUGUAAAAGGCAGUAGCUUAACUACUGUAAGCAUUUGAAACUGCAUAUCUUGAGAAGAGUAGAGGUAAGUGGAAUUUUUAGUGUAGCGGUGAAAUGCGUAGAUAUUAAAAAGAAUACCGGUGGCGAAGGCGACUUACUGGGCUCAUUCUGACGCUGAGGAACGAAAGCGUGGGUAGCAAACAGG